GGCCCGUUCGUCUAUGGGUCUAGGACGCCGGCCUCUCACGCCGGUAACACGGGUUCGAAUCCCGUACGGGCUACCA
rnacentral:tRNA from 1 species